CUUCCUCCAACACCCCCGCGCUGAAGGGCACAGAGUCCCCGUAAACACCGAGCGCGCUGACCCUCAGCGCUGGGCACGGAGGGGGCUGUGCCGCCGGAACGGACAGAUCCCCACUGCGCCUCUGGGGGCGGCCGAGAAAGGGGACCUUAACGUCCUCACCAAACGGAAAGACACCUGCAGUGCCCGGUGAGGGCCCCAAGCCGACCCAAUGAGGCACCAUUCGGCAACAUAGUAUCAAACUCCUGAAACUCACAUAACAUGGUGUUACAGAAUCAAGCGGCCACUGGCCACGGUCCCCAAACAUGCCAGAGGCCCAGGGCCCAGACCCGGCGAGCGGGAGAGAGCAGCGCGCCAGCGACUGCGGCCGGGCCGGGUGUGCGUGCGCAUGUGCGUGCGCGUGGCCAGGCCAGUGUGCGUGUGUGCAGCCUGGCCGGUGGGAGAGCGGCCGCGAGGCCCCGGCUGGGGAGCUGAGCGCAGCAGGCACAGUCUCUCGGGAACCGCGUGCCGGAGCUCUUGAAGGCGCAGACUCUCCCCCUCAGGACAAGAGGGGGGCCAAGGGUCUGAGCUCAGGGCACCCCAGGGACCCUCGGUGUCACUUGUCCGCUGAGCGCGGGUAAGCAGCGAGACCAGGCCCGCUUACCCCCGCGGGCUUCCCAGGCCCUGCAAUAAACUCUCCCUGCAGGGGGGCUCUGGGGCCACGGGUUCCUAGAGGGAGGAGAGGUCCGGGGAAGCCCUCCCACCGGCGAGAGGGGCUGGCGGCCAUCCAGCUGCGACCCCUCCUUCUGGCCGGACGUCCAGGGGCACCGUCUCCCUGCGUCACUGCUGCAGGUGCCGGCAGGGUGAUGGCCUUACUGGACGGAGCGGCCCCGCUGCCCCUCUCUACCCGCUACCCCACCCGCAAGCAGGCCUUCCACCGCGGACGUGCACCUGCCGCGCCCUGCGGCUCUCACACCUGGGCUCCAGCCUGGCCCAAACCCCCGUUCCCACCUGCGUGCAGACAGCCUAUAAUCCCUGUCUCCAUGGAGACACUCCUCCACCGUCCGCCACCCAAAGACCUCCUCGGGAAGCGUCUCCUCCUCUCUCGGCCCGCAGCCUGCCAACACGCGGGUCAGGGACGCGCGGCCCGCAGCGUCCACGACCACCGCGAAGUCUCCCCACACUGCCCACCCCACGCCCCCUCCCCAGUCUGAGUGGCUCGGGGUCGGUGUCCAGGACGGUGAUCCUGGGACACCCACAGCCUCCCUCCUGUCACUCCAGGGACCAACCAGCACGGUGUGGCAACUGCAAACACCCCCCGCCGCCGACACGUCGCUAUCGCUGGAGGGUGUCUUCUCUCUGCGCUCACAGAAACUUCCGCAAGGGGCCUCCAUCCCAGCCAUCCUGGCAGUGGCCCUUGAGGUAGGGAACAAAAACUCACUGCAGCCCGUUAUCUCUAGGCUCUAGCGUUUCAGGAAAAGGGGACAGCAUGUGCCCAGCCACAAGCAGACCCUGAAGAUGACCAGACAGGCAGAGAGAGACGGGCCGUCCUCCUCAGCACCUGCCUGUGCCGGGGUAACGUGGACCAGAGCCACACACACAUCCACCCAGGCCGGGGCCCCUCACACCAGGAGCGGCACACAUGGGAGAUGCCGUCACCUACGCAGACAUGUCCGCUGUCACGAGAGGCAUGCCAGAACAGGCUGCUGACAAGUAAAUCACGCAAAGAAUUUCUUCAAUGAAACCAGCCAGAGCUUGUUUUGAAAACAGACCUGGAAGGGAACCGGACAGGUCUCAGCAUUCCCGCCUCGCGUGGGCACGGCUAAGCUCUGAGAGGCCCUCCAGCCUGACUCCCGGGUCCAGCCUGUCUCCCAUAACCUCCCUGUCCCCCAGAGGUCACCACUCCCACACCAGCGCUGAGAGGCAGGAGCGGCCUGCAUGUCCGGGUCCCGGGCAGCUGGGAAGCCCACUGAUGCCCCCAAAAGCCAAGGAACUGCUCCAUCAGGAAAACUCGCUAAACCCCACUCUCCAGACGGCCCCCCGCUCUCUCACACCGGCCCCCCGAACUCCCCCCACUGCCCUCAGCAGGGGGGACAGCCAGCUUCUCUCUUGGGGGGCUCUAAGGAUCCCCCAAAACCACAUGUGCAUAGGAAAGGGGUCCCGAAGGCUUCAGCCGCUGAUGGGAGAUGCCACCAGGUAUCCUGUCCAAGCCUCUGCGGUCACUGCAGCAAGGCACAGCAGCACAGCCACCCCAAGCUGGAAAGUCAAAGACUGGACCCAGUGCUGGCCAGGCGGCCCAGCUCUACUGCCGCCCACUGUGGGGACAACGUCUGUAACCUGAAGAGGGACACCCACCAAGGACACCAGGUGCACAGGAAGGGAGCAGACCAGUGCGCAGGCUCUCCACGCAGCAGCCAGGGACCAGACACCUGAGCAGACGUGGGUCCUCCGGGAGCCGCCGAGAACUUCGGGAGAGCAGAACAGUGGACUUGUGUCGGGACUCGUCUACCCCAGAGGACAGGGUGGGGCUCACGUGAGAAAGAACUUUCUUCCUGAGCAGACAUGUCUCCAAGGAAGACACACAAAUGGGCCAGAAGCACAAGGAAACGUGGUGAACAUUCACAGCUCCUGAUGGAAACGCAGACCAGCCCCACACCCACUUCACACCCCGGGGGUGCUCUUACCAACAACCAAACACAAAGAACAGAAAAUCCCGAGUGUGGAGGAGGCUGUGAUUGGACCCUGUGCAUUGCCGGUAAGAACGUAAAAUGGUGCAGCCACGGAGGCAAACAGUGCAGUAGUUCCUCAAAAGAUUAAAAACAGAACUACUGUGUGAGGCAGCAAUUUCACUUCUGGGUAUUUACUCGAAAGAUCCGCAAGCAGGGACCCAGACAGAUGCUGUCCAGCGGCGCUCACCGCAGCGUCCGCCACGGCAGCCAGAGGGCGGAGGCAGCUCAAGGGGCUGUCCACAGGUGAGUGCACAUGCCACACGUGGGCCACUGUGCCCUGAAUAGGCCUCAGCCUCAGAGGAAGGAAGCUCGGACACUUGCUACAACAGGAUGAACCCCGAGGACAUCACGCUACGCGAAACAGACCUGCCACCGAAAGACAGCUCCACCCGUUCAAGACUGCGAGCACAAACCUCUCCUUAAUGAAAUGACACAAUUAGAUACUUCAACAUGAUUCAUUACAAUCUUAUCAAUAAUUACUACUCUAUAUUCUACGUUUCAACUAAAAGUAUCAAAAUAUAAUUUUCCAGAAAACCAUGAACCAAAUUUAAUUUC